rnacentral:lncRNA from 1 species
ACAAUAGAUUCUGAUUAACUUGGGUAUUUCCACGUACAAUUUCCUGCUUUGUUUCAGGAUGAGCAGUAUAUCAGCUUUGUGUCAGAUGUCAGCACGGAUCAGGUGCUGCCAUGGUUAUUUGACAGGAAGCAUUGGAAUGCAGAUUUGGGGCUCGUAGUCUGUGUUCCUGUUGGCAACUCUCUUCUCAGGACUGAUACUGCAACUUAUAAUGGUGUUCUUAGCAGGCUGCCUCUGUGCUUCCAAAAAACACAGGCCAGCACAGUACCCUUAUUCAAGUAAGCACACUGUAUGCUUCUAGUUCAGUGAAGCUGUUGGGUAAAUCUUAAUAAAAAUGGGUAUAUAACUUGUGUCUGCA